GGUUUCAUUUUAAAUUUUCUCUUUCAUCUUCAACAUUCGUUCCUCUCUCCCCCAACCCUCCCGCAUCGUUUUCCCGAGCUCCCCAAACGUGAGAUUGCCCUUUCAUCUUCAACAUUCGUUCCUCUCUCCCCCAUCCGCGUUUCCUCCCUCCCUGUGUUGUCUCUCAUCCCUUCUCUUUCCUUAUUCUCUCCCCAGAGACUCCUCUGCCCUAAGGGAGGCCCUGCACUACGAUUUUGAGUUCCUCCUCCGAAGGCCGAGCUCCUCCCAGGUUAUAUCUUCUUCUUCUUCUUCUCCUCCUCGAAGAUUUACACUUAUUCUCUAAGGUUUCUUCUUCUUCUCUCUCUCUGUGUUCGACACACUCAGAUUGUCUAGCCGAAGCCCAGAUCUGCGGGAGGGUUGUCUUUCCUUUGACGAAAUCACUAUGGCAUCUUCUCAAUCAUCAUCUUUAGAUAAUGAUUUUGUGAUGGAGUCACCAACUUGUUGGUGUGGUUUGAAAACGCCACUAAAGACGUCCUAUACUAAGAAAAAUCCUGGAAGGAGAUUUUUUGCCUGCCCCAAAUAUAAUACGGGAGAUGCGAGGUGUGAAUUCUUCGUAUGGGCGGAUAUUUUUCAGUUGUUAGUGGAGAACAUGUUAUUAAAACAGAACUCGCGACGUAAUACAUGGGAUGAUGUAUUACGCCGUGAGUAUGCCGUUCAGAAAAGGGAAGAAAAAGUGAGAGAGAUAGCGAAGAAUCUGAAAAAGGAAAAGUGAAAGUUAUUGUGUUUGUACUGGAUUAUCACCUUUGUAAUAUUGUUUGCUUGGUUUGGAUAAAUGUAAUGUAAAAAGCACAUUGUAUAAAUUAUGUAAUUUUUUAUGUAGACACAUUAGAUUAAAAAGCAUGUUGUAUAAAUUAGGACUUACUCUAAUCUGUUAGAAUAACAGUUUGAAGCUACUUCUAAGCUCGAUUAAAUGAGCUGAAUCUAUUCUCUUCAAGUAUUGAGGUUUUGUUUUUUUGGUGAAUAUUGUGAAUUGAG